rnacentral:tRNA from 1 species
GUUCAUACUAUGAACGUAGUAUAAUGGCGGUCGGGCAAGUAUGCCCCCAUCGUCUAGUGGUUCAGGACAUCUC